rnacentral:rRNA from 1 species
CCUACGGGCUGCACCAGUGGGGAAUUUUGCGCAAUGGGGGAAACCCUGACGCAGCAACGCCGCGUGGAGGAUGAAGUCCCUUGGGACGUAAACUCCUUUCGAUCGGGACGAUUAUGACGGUACCGGAAGAAGAAGCCCCGGCUAACUUCGUGCCAGCAGCCGCGGUAAUACGAGGGGGGCAAGCGUUGUUCGGAAUUAUUGGGCGUAAAGGGCGCGUAGGCGGUGCGGUAAGUCUGUUGUGAAAUCUCCGGGCUCAACUCGGAGUCUGCAUCAGAAACUGCCGUGCUCGAGUGUGGGAGAGGUGAGUGGAAUUCCCGGUGUAGCGGUGAAAUGCGUAGAGAUCGGGAGGAACACCUGUGGCGAAAGCGGCUCACUGGACCACAACUGACGCUGAGGCGCGGAAGCUAGGGGAGCAAACGGGAUUAGAUACCCCAGUAGUC